AUUGAACGCUGGCGGCAGGCCUAACACAUGCAAGUCGAGCGGGGUUUUCGGACCUAGCGGCGGACGGGUGAGUAAUGCGUAGGAAGCUACCCGAAAGAGGGGGAUACCAGUUGGAAACGACUGUUAAUACCGCAUAAUGUCUACGGACCAAAGUGUGGGACCUUCGGGCCACAUGCUAUCGGAGGCGCCUACGUGGGAUUAGCUAGUUGGUGAGGUAAUGGCUCACCAAGGCGACGAUCCCUAGCUGGUUUGAGAGGAUGAUCAGCCACACUGGAACUGAGACACGGUCCAGACUCCUACGGGAGGCAGCAGUGGGGAAUAUUGGACAAUGGGCGCAAGCCUGAUCCAGCCAUGCCGCGUGUGUGAAGAAGGCCUUCGGGUUGUAAAGCACUUUCAGUAGGGAGGAAGCGUUGUGUGUUAAUAGUACACAGCGUUGACGUUACCUACAGAAGAAGCACCGGCUAACUCUGUGCCAGCAGCCGCAGUAAUAC
rnacentral:rRNA from 1 species